UAAACGUUGAGAAUUCUUUUCUUGACCAUGAGCUAAGUGAACUAGCAGCCAGAUUUUCUAAGCAUCAGAAAAAAUUGUUAAUCUCCAGAUCUUACUGUAGAAAUAUAUCAAAAAUAAAAAUGAUUCUAAAAACAAUUUCAUAAGAUACCUGCCAAAUGAAAGACUUGGAGAGUUAAAAACUUUGAUCAUGAAUAUCAAAUAUGGAAUAAGAAGUAAGAA